rnacentral:tRNA from 1 species
UGCCGAAACCCGGGAUCGAACCAAGGACCUUUAGAUCUUCAGUCUAACGCUCUCCAAACUGAGCUAAUUCGAC